rnacentral:ncRNA from 7 species
UUGGACCUGAUAUCAGGCAAGAUUACCCGCUGAACUUA